CAGCCACCUGGAGGUGGGAGAAUGGAAGCUCCUUGACCCAGGCCCUGCAGGACUCUGGGACCUGCAGGGGAUGGGGCACAGCCCCCACCUCCCACCCAACCCUCACUCACGGCUGGGUGGUCCUUGCCCAGUGUUUUCUCCCGGAUGGCCAGAGCAUCAUUGAGUAGCUGGGCCACGGCCUGCUCACUGCGCUGCAGCUUCUGCUGCGUCCCCGCCAGCUCCUCACGCAGCCACUGGUUCUCCUGCACCAGGCGCCGCACCUGCGCCCGCAGCUUCUGCUUCUCUGAUUCUACAGCCCCCAGGUGGCUCGACAGUGCCAAGAUCACCUGUGCAACCAGCCCAGGUGCGGUGGCUCACGCCUGUAAUCCUAGCACUUCAGGAGGCUGAGGUGGG